GGGGUUGUGGCUCAGAGGUAGAGCACUCGCCUGGCAUGCAUGAGGCACUGGGUUCGAUCCUCAGCACCA
rnacentral:tRNA from 1 species